UACGUAGGGUGCAAGCGUUAUCCGGAAUUAUUGGGCGUAAAGAGCUCGUAGGCGGUUUGUCGCGUCUGCUGUGAAAACCCGAGGCUCAACCUCGGGCCUGCAGUGGGUACGGGCAAACUAGAGUGCGGUAGGGGAGAAUGGAAUUCCCGGUGUAGCGGUGAAAUGCGCAGAUAUCGGGAGGAACACCGGUGGCGAAGGCGGUUCUCUGGGCCUGUACUGACGCUGAGGAGCGAAAGCGUGGGGAGCGAACAGG
rnacentral:rRNA from 1 species